rnacentral:tRNA from 1 species
UGGUGAAUAGUGUAAGAAGCAUGUAUGAUUUCGGCUCAUAAGGUAAUAUUAUUUUUUCACUUG